UGGGGAAUUUUGGACAAUGGGCGCAAGCCUGAUCCAGCCAUGCCGCGUGCGGGAAGAAGGCCUUCGGGUUGUAAACCGCUUUUGUCAGGGAAGAAAUCUUCUGAGUUAAUACCUCGGGAGGAUGACGGUACCUGAAGAAUAAGCACCGGCUAACUACGUACCAGUAGCCGCGGUAAUACGUAGGGUGCAAGCGUUAAUCGGAAUUACUGGGCGUAAAGCGUGCGCAGGCGGUUUUGUAAGACAGAGGUGAAAUCCCCGGGCUCAACCUGGGAACUGCCUUUGUGACUGCAAGGCUUGAGUGCGGCAGAGGGGGCAUGGAAUUCCGCGUGUAGCAGUGAAAUUGCGUAGAUAUGCGGAGGAACACCGAUGGCGAAGGCAAUCCCCUGGGCCUGCACUGACGCUCAUGCACGAAAGCGUGGGGAGCAAACAGGAUUAGAUACCCUGGUAGUCCACGCCCUAAAACGAUGUCAACUGGUUGUUGGGAAGGUUCCUUCUCAGUAACGUAGCUAACGCGUGAA
rnacentral:rRNA from 1 species